rnacentral:snoRNA from 12 species
GAGCAAUGAUGAAAAAGUUUGCUACUGACCUUUGGAACUAUGAAGGUGUCUACACUUGACCUGAGCUCA